AUUGAACGCUGGCGGCAGGCCUAACACAUGCAAGUCGAGCGGGGAAUGGUAGCUUGCUACCUGACCUAGCGGCGGACGGGUGAGUAAUGCUUAGGAAUCUGCCUAUUAGUGGGGGACAACAUUCCGAAAGGAAUGCUAAUACCGCAUACGCCCUACGGGGGAAAGCAGGGGAUCUUCGGACCUUGCGCUAAUCGAUGAGCCUAAGUCAGAUUAGCUAGUUGGUGGGGUAAAGGCCUACCAAGGCGACGAUCUGUAGCGGGUCUGAGAGGAUGAUCCGCCACACUGGGACUGAGACACGGCCCAGACUCCUACGGGAGGCAGCAGUGGGGAAUAUUGGACAAUGGGCGCAAGCCUGAUCCAGCCAUGCCGCGUGUGUGAAGAAGGCCUUUUGGUUGUAAAGCACUUUAAGCGAGGAGGAGGCUACUGAGAUUAAUACUCUUGGAUAGUGGACGUUACUCGCAGAAUAAGCACCGGCUAACUCUGUGCCAGCAGCCGCGGUAAUACAGAGGGUGCGAGCGUUAAUCGGAUUUACUGGGCGUAAAGCGUGCGUAGGCGGCUUUUUAAGUCGGAUGUGAAAUCCCUGAGCUUAACUUAGGAAUUGCAUUCGAUACUGGGAAGCUAGAGUAUGGGAGAGGAUGGUAGAAUUCCAGGUGUAGCGGUGAAAUGCGUAGAGAUCUGGAGGAAUACCGAUGGCGAAGGCAGCCAUCUGGCCUAAUACUGACGCUGAGGUACGAAAGCAUGGGGAGCAAACAGGAUUAGAUACCCUGGUAGUCCAUGCCGUAAACGAUGUCUACUAGCCGUUGGGGCCUUUGAGGCUUUAGUGGCGCAGCUAACGCGAUAAGUAGACCGCCUGGGGAGUACGGUCGCAAGACUAAAACUCAAAUGAAUUGACGGGGGCCCGCACAAGCGGUGGAGCAUGUGGUUUAAUUCGAUGCAACGCGAAGAACCUUACCUGGUCUUGACAUAGUAAGAACUUUCCAGAGAUGGAUUGGUGCCUUCGGGAACUUACAUACAGGUGCUGCAUGGCUGUCGUCAGCUCGUGUCGUGAGAUGUUGGGUUAAGUCCCGCAACGAGCGCAACCCUUUUCCUUAUUUGCCAGCGGGUUAAGCCGGGAACUUUAAGGAUACUGCCAGUGACAAACUGGAGGAAGGCGGGGACGACGUCAAGUCAUCAUGGCCCUUACGACCAGGGCUACACACGUGCUACAAUGGUCGGUACAAAGGGUUGCUACCUAGCGAUAGGAUGCUAAUCUCAAAAAGCCGAUCGUAGUCCGGAUUGGAGUCUGCAACUCGACUCCAUGAAGUCGGAAUCGCUAGUAAUCGCGGAUCAGAAUGCCGCGGUGAAUACGUUCCCGGGCCU
rnacentral:rRNA from 1 species